rnacentral:misc_RNA from 1 species
CCAAACUUGGUCAUUUAGAGGAAGUAAAAGUCGUAACAAGGUCUCCGUUGGUGAACCAGCGGAGGGAUCAUUACAGAGUUGCAAAACUCCAAACCCAUGUGAACAUACCUCGUGUUGCCUCGGCGGCGAGCGUUUAGUGCUCGGGCGGUACCUACCCGGUACCUACCCUGGAGCUACCCUGGAGCUGCCUACCCGGUAGUCCCAGCGGUACCUACCCUGGAGCUACCCGGUAGUAACCUACCCGGUAGCUACCCUGGAGGACGUACGCAUCCGCCGAAGGACCACUUAAACUCUUGUUUCUGUGUGGCACAUCUGAGUUAUUAUACUUAAUAAGUCAAAACUUUCAACAACGGAUCUCUUGGUUCUGGCAUCGAUGAAGAACGCAGC